rnacentral:tRNA from 1 species
GCUUCAUGGUGUAGUGGUCAGCACGCUCGACGCGUAACCGAGAGGUCCGUGGUUCGAUUCCCGGCGAAGGCG